CCCAAACUCAGAAAAGAAAUAGCCAUUGGAAAAUUAAGGAUAUGAUUACUUUUUCAGUAUUUUAUUUCUAUCCAAGUAAAGGUGAAAGAAGUUAAAUCUUAAGAAAACCAAAGAAUAAAUAGACAGUGAACCUUAAAUAACCCACUAUUCUUCCUAUUUUUGCAUAUUUCUGAGGUCUUCUAAAAGUUCUAGAUAAAGCCUACAGAGCUAGAGAUUUGAGUGUUUGUUUUUUUAAAUUGUGUCUAUUUCAUUGGCAUGGAAUUUAACUUGUCCUCUGAGGUUGAAACAGUUAACAAGAGGCUUCAUGAUAGAGCUGGUUCUGCAUGUAUUUUCCGGUUGCAGUUGGUAGGCAGGCUGUUGGAAGUGGACCUAGAUUUGCUCAGGAUAUGAAGAAGGCAUGAUUCAUCUAUUUUGAAAGGGCUGUCUGUCCCAGUUCCGGGAGAGAUGCCGUUGUUUGCCUGCUCCCCUAAGGAGGAAGGCAGACACGAAGUGGAUUGUAUGACACCACGAUUACUAGUCUUAGAUAAGGAGUUGAAACUGCAGCGUCAACCUAAGGGCAUCCAAGCAGAAGUGCUGGGGAACGGGAUUGGAAAUACCCAGAAACAAAGUCCUUGCCUAAACUCAGUGGAAACCUGUGUUCCUCCAGGUAUAAUUAUUAUUAUCAGCAUCUAG
rnacentral:lncRNA from 1 species